rnacentral:rRNA from 1 species
GACGAACGCUGGCGGCGUGCUUAACACAUGCAAGUCGAGCGGAAAGGCCACUUCGGUGGUACUCGAGCGGCGAACGGGUGAGUAACACGUGAGUAAUCUGCCCCUCACUUUGGGAUAGCCACCGGAAACGGUGAUUAAUACCGGAUAUGACCAUAUGUCGCAUGGCGUGUGGUGGAAAGUUUUUCGGUGAGGGAUGUGCUCGCGGCCUAUCAGCUUGAUGGUGAGGUAAUGGCUCACCAUGGCUUCGACGGGUAGCCGGCCUGAGAGGGUGACCGGUCACACUGGGACUGAGACACGGCCCAGACUCCUACGGGAGGCAGCAGUGGGGAAUAUUGGACAAUGGGCGGAAGCCUGAUCCAGCAACGCCGCGUGAGGGAUGACGGCCUUCGGGUUGUAAACCUCUUUCAGUACCGACGAAGCGCAAGUGGCGGUAGGUACAGAAGAAGCACCGGCCAACUACGUG